CUGGGUAUGGAGGAGUCAGGUCAACCUCGCUGGUUUUGGGAACCAGAGCAAGCUGUAAUGGCGGGCGCAAGUUCGAAUCUUGCUAUCCAGA
rnacentral:tRNA from 2 species